GCUAAGGUAGCAUAGUCAUUUGUUAUUUAAUUGGUAACUGGAAUGAAAGGUCAAACUAAUUUAUUAAGUUUGUAUAACUGGAUAGGAGACUAAAGUUAAGGUAAGAAUUCUUUAAUUUUCUAGGGGACGAUAAGACCCUAGAAGCUUGACAAACAUAGUGUCUGGGUUUGUUUUAGAGGUUAGUUUGUUUUACUGGGGCGGUAAAAGGAACUAAGCUGUUUAUUACUUAAAGGAUCCUUUAAAUAAAGAGAGAAUGGGGAAGUUACUCUAGGGAUAACAGUGCAAUAUUUUUGGAGAGAUCUUAUUGAUAAAUAUGUUUGCAACCUCGAUG
rnacentral:rRNA from 1 species